rnacentral:rRNA from 1 species
UACGAAGGGGGCUAGCGUUGCUCGGAAUCAUUGGGCGUAAAGCGCACGUAGGCGGCUUGCUAAGUCAGGGGUGAAAUCCUGGAGCUCAACUCCAGAACUGCCCUUGAUACUGGCGGUCUCGAGUCCGGGAGAGGUGAGUGGAACUGCGAGUGUAGAGGUGAAAUUCGUAGAUAUUCGCAAGAACACCAGUGGCGAAGGCGGCUCACUGGCCCGGUACUGACGCUGAGGUGCGAAAGCGUGGGGAGCAAACAGG